rnacentral:rRNA from 1 species
AUUGAACGCUGGCGGCAUGCCUUACACAUGCAAGUCGAACGGCAGCGGACCUUCGGGUGCCGGCGAGUGGCGAACGGGUGAGUAAUAUAUCGGAACGUACCUUUCGAGUAGGGGAUAACGUAGCGAAAGUUACGCUAAUACCGCAUAUUCUGUGAGCAGGAAAGCAGGGGAUCGCAAGACCUUGCGCUGAUUGAGCGGCCGAUAUCAGAUUAGCUAGUUGGUGAGGUAAAGGCUCACCAAGGCGACGAUCUGUAGCGGGUCUGAGAGGAUGAUCCGCCACACUGGAACUGAGACACGGUCCAGACUCCUACGGGAGGCAGCAGUGGGGAAUUUUGGACAAUGGGCGCAAGCCUGAUCCAGCCAUGCCGCGUGAGUGAAGAAGGCCUUCGGGUUGUAAAGCUCUUUCGGCCGGGAAGAAAUCGCACAGGUUAAUACCCUGUGUGGAUGACGGUACCGGAAUAAGAAGCACCGGCUAACUACGUG